rnacentral:misc_RNA from 1 species
UAACUGCGAUACGUAUUGCGAAUUGCAGAACUCAGUGAAUCAUCAAAUUUUCGAACGCACAUUGCGCUCUCGGGUAACCCUGAGAGCACGUUCUCCUCAGUGUCGCCUUGCACCAAACUCGGCCGCGUGUCGGCCGGAGAAUGAGCUGUCUCGAUGUCAAAUCGAGUCGCUUCAAACUUUGCUGUGAUUGGAUCUCUUGGCGAGCUGCUUCGGCUCUCUCAAGGGUGACGAUUGAUAUAUGUUUUCCUUCUGGGAGACAGAUCAUUCGCCGCUCCCUGAAAGAUCAAAGUCGGACAGCCACGUAUGUAGUUUCACUAUCACCAACUGUGAAAACCACUUGAAUUUUGUGUUUCGGCACAAACAUUCGCAUCCUUUAGACCUGAGGUGGAGCGAGAAUACC